rnacentral:rRNA from 1 species
AGAGCGAACGCUGGCGGCAGGCCUAACACAUGCAAGUCGAGCGCGUGUAGCAAUACACGAGCGGCAGACGGGAGAGUAACACGUGGGAACGCGCCCUUCGGUUCGGAAUAACUCAGGGAAACUUGAGCUAAUACCGGAUACGCCCUUACGGGGAAAGAUUUAUUGCCGAAGGAACGGCCCGCGUCCGAUUAGCUAGUUGGUGAGGUAACGGCUCACCAAGGCGACGAUCGGUAGCUGGUCUGAGAGGAUGACCAGCCUCACUGGGACUGAGACACGGCCCAGACUCCUACGGGAGGCAGCAGUGGGGAAUAUUGGACAAUGGGCGCAAGCCUGAUCCAGCCAUGCCGCGUGGAUGAUGAAGGCCUUAGGGGUUGUAAAGUCCUUUUAACGGGGAAGAUAAUGACGGUACCCGUAGAAUAAGCCCCGGCUAACUUCGUGCCAGCAGCCGC